rnacentral:rRNA from 1 species
UACGUAGGUGGCGAGCGUUGUCCGGAAUUAUUGGGCGUAAAGGAUGCGUAGGUGGUAGUUUAAGUGAGGUGUGAAAUCCACAGGCUCAACCUGUGAAUUGCAUUUCAAACUGGACUACUAGAGUGCAGGAGAGGAAAGUGGAAUUCCUAGUGUAGCGGUGAAAUGCGUAGAGAUUAGGAAGAACACCAGUGGCGAAGGCGACUUUCUGGACUGUAACUGACACUGAGGCAUGAAAGCGUGGGGAGCAAAC